ACCUGGCUGGCUCAGUCGAUAGAGCAUGCAACUUUUGAUCUCAGAGUUGUGAGUUCAAGCCCCAUGCUAGGUG
rnacentral:tRNA from 1 species